rnacentral:rRNA from 1 species
GUGCCAGCAGCCGCGGUAAGACGGAGGGCGCAAGCGUUGUUCGGAAUUACUGGGCGUAAAGCGCGAGCAGGUGGUCUGUUAAGUCUUUUGUGAAAACCCGGGGCUCAACUCCGUGGAAUGCAGAAGAUACUGGCAGGCUAGAGAACAGUAGAGGCUAGCGGAAUUCCUGGUGUAGCGGUGGAAUGCGUAGAUAUCAGGAAGAACACCUGUGGCGAAGGCGGCUAGCUGGGCUGUUUCUGACACUCAUCCGCGAAAGCGUGGGGAGCAAACAGGAUUAGAUACCCUUGUAGUCC